rnacentral:piRNA from 1 species
UCAAGAAGUGACGCAUCUCUGGCCUGUGA